UGGCCAGAGAGCGCCCCUCCAGGGUGAGAGGAUUCCAGGAAGUUGUUGGAUACAUAAUCCUUUUGUAUGAAAUCUGGAUGCCAGCCACCUGGGUCUGGCCUUUCAGAGGACAGAAGGCCACACAAGCAUCUCCAGGUGCCUGGGGCAGGGCUGCAGACCCUGCCAGAGAAGACCGCCUGGGUCCGGUCAAAACCACAUCGCUGGGUGGACAGCACAUCCUACCCUGGCCCCUGGCAGAGCAAGCCCUGAUCAGGUGUUAGCUACACCGUAACACAGCACAAGCAACAGGAACAUUUCCAUGGCACCGUGAACUAACCGUGAUGGCCGAAUGAGCUGAGAUCUGUGAGUCGCUGUGCCAGUCACGACCCACAGGGGACAGAACUCACCCUACAAGGUCUAGAGGAAGAGUCACUAAUCAAAGCACAACUGUGUUACGAGAGAAACUUGGAAGUGUAACAUCCUCCCCCUAAACUGGAAAGAUGCUCAGAAACCAAAGAAUGACGGGAAAAGUCCAGCCUGGUGUCCUUUUAAGAGACAGAAGAGCAGACACUGUACAGAGGGCCCCAUGAAGACGGAAAUGGAGGUUGCACUUCUCCUGCCAGGGCCAAGGAUCGGCUGGAGCUCCGGCUGUGGGAAGUGGGGAAGGACCCUCCCCUGGGCCUCCGGAAGGGGCACAGCCCUGCAGACACCUUGACUUCAGACUUCUGGCUUGCAGAGCUGUGAGAGAAUAAAUUGCCAUUAUUUUAAACCA